AGGGAUCAUUACUGAGUUUACGCUCUACAACCCUUUGUGAACAUACCUAUAACUGUUGCUUCGGCGGGUAGGGUCUCCGUGACCCUCCCGGCCUCCCGCCCCCGGGCGGGUCGGCGCCCGCCGGAGGAUAACCAAACUCUGAUUUAACGACGUUUCUUCUGAGUGGUACAAGCAAAUAAUCAAAACUUUUAACAACGGAUCUCUUGGUUCUGGCAUCGAUGAAGAACGCAGCGAAAUGCGAUAAGUAAUGUGAAUUGCAGAAUUCAGUGAAUCAUCGAAUCUUUGAACGCACAUUGCGCCCGCCAGCAUUCUGGCGGGCAUGCCUGUUCGAGCGUCAUUUCAACCCUCAAGCUCUGCUUGGUGUUGGGGCCCUACAGCUGAUGUAGGCCCUCAAAGGUAGUGGCGGACCCUCCCGGAGCCUCCUUUGCGUAGUAACUUUACGUCUCGCACUGGGAUCCGGAGGGACUCUUGCCGUAAAACCCCCAAUUCUCCAAAGGUUGACCUCGGAUCAGGUAGGAAUACCCGCUGAACUUAA
rnacentral:rRNA from 1 species